CCUACAGCAUAUCUCACACAGUGUAAAUAUUCUGCUACAUUGGUGGAAAUCAAACAAUCUUAGCACUUUAAAAUUAUAUAUGUAGAUACAUGUGCUACCUUUCCAAUUCUGACUAACUCCCAAUAAUUUGUCAUGUAAUUUGCAGCUAAAUAUAUGCACGGGUGCUGGAUUAUGAGGUUUGUUCACUGGGUACCCCAGUCCAUGUUGUUGGAGCACAGGAUGUUGGAGCAUACUUUUGAAAAGUCAAGAUCAAAAUCUUGUACAGUUACUCUAUUGCAGAGAGCAAGAUAUGGUUGGUUGUAACUUUGGUUAUGGUUGGUUGUAACUUUGGUUGUAACUUUUUUUGUUUUGAAACAUGAAAACGACUCUACUGAACUUUGGUUGUAACUUUUUGGUCAGUUGUACAUGAACCAGAAAGAAGUAGUUGAUACUCUCUUGCAUCAGGCAAAAAUUGAACUGGGAUCUGUUUGUGAGA